UGCGCAGCUAAUGAGGCUGAAUCAGUGUGUGUGUAUGCGGCACUGCAGAACAAAGAUCGAUGUUUCCGCUCUGUUUAGGCAGGUUGCUGUCCUGUGGGAUGGAUGACGUCCUGGAGCAGGACCAGUACGAGGAGCGCCUGAAGGAAGUUUUUGAUGGCUUCGACGCCAGCGGUUGCGGCUCACUGUGUCCGGAGGAGCUGGCCGACCUCUGCCUGUCACUGCACUUGGAGGACGUGGCCCCGGCACUCCUUGACGCGCUGCUGCAGGGUCGGGACCGCAUCACAGACAGGGUCGACUUUGAGCAGUUCAGGGAUGCGCUGAUUCUGGUGUUGUCAUCCGGCAUCGAGGCGCAACGGGAAGUCCCGUCCAGACCAGAGUCACCCGACAUCCAACCAAAGUUCGUGAAGGGCAGCAAACGUUACGGCCGUCGCUCCAAGCCCGAAUCGGCCGACGCCAUUUUGGACUUUUGCCAAGACGACGAGCACAAUCAAGGCGACGAGGACACCAAGGACAGCGAUGACUCGGCUGUUCCAAGGAAGCGUGAGCGCUGCAAUGCAAAUCAAACUAUCACGGAGGAGUACGAAGCAGAAGGCCAGAUGCAUCUGUGGAACCCAGACGAGCCGAGUACGACUCGAGGAUACGUUUCGGAGGCUCUGAAGGAGAGGCUCCAGGAAGCCUGCGAAGAGUUGGCCAUAUCUUGGCAGGGGCGCGCCGGCCACACGGAGCUGCUCGCCCUAUGCGAUUAUUUAGGCUUGGAGUUGAGUGCGGAUGUAGUCCAUGGCUUGAACGGGGACGGGUGGAUCAACGUUCAAGAGUUUGUUUCCAUGGUUUUAAAGUACAACAAGCCCCCCGCCACCCCGUCUGCCUCCACCCCGUACAGGCAGCUGAAAAGACAACACUCCACUCAGCCCUUCGAUGAGGUGGGCCGACGGAUCGCCAACCCCUGCGCCCUGAUGGGCAGCGUCGGUACGAGUCUGUUCUCAACCUUGGAUGACGGCACCGGCUUCACUGCGGUCGAAUCCAUCAUAGACGCCUGGAUGGAGGAAGGCAUCGAAAAUAGCAUUGAGAUCCUGCAGGCGUUAAAUUUCAGCCUCGAGGGCAAGCUCAGUCUCUGCGAUCUGACCGUCGCGCUGGAAAAUGAACUCCUGGGCACCAAGAACGGAAUCCACCAGGCGGCGCUGGCCAGUUUCAAAGCGGAAAUCAGACAUCUCCUUGAGCGCGUGGAAGGCGAGUUGAGGGAGAAGGAGAAAAUCCGCUUGGACCUGGAAAAGGCGGAAAGGCUGAAAAGCCAGCUGGCCGCCGAAGUGGAUGAGCAUCACUUGUCAAUCGAGCGCACGAAUCAUCUUAACCUCAGGAAGCUCGAGGACGCGCACCAAGAGAAGCUGGCGGCAGUGCGCUCGCAGCUGAUGAAGGAGAUGGACCUGAUCCGCCAACAGGGGGCGCAGCAAUGUGAGGAGCUCGAGGCCCAGGUGGGGAAGAUUAAGGAGGAUGAGUCCUUCCUCCGGGACCACCUGGCCAUCUCCGUCAAGGAAAACCGACGUCUGGAGACGGACUUGCUGGACUGCAGCGAACAGUUGACCAAGGCCCAAAGCCAAGUGACAAAACUGCAGGCAAGUUUGGAUAAUGUGAUGAAAGAGAAGUUUGGCGAGCUGGACCCCGGCAGUGCUGACUUCUUCCUGCAGGAGGAACGCAUUAAGCGGUUGCGACUGGGCUACGAAGCGCAGUGCAGGGAAUUGCAAGAUCGCGUGGAUGAGCUGCAGUCCCAGCUGCAGGACUUCCAGAGCUUGGGCCGAACUCGGCAGCGCUGCCCGCAACCUCUCUCGGAGGAGCUGGAGAGCAAAAGCCCCGGCGUGGAGUCGGACCCGGGCCUCGGAUCGGAGGAAGUGCUGCAUCCCUUCAUCAGUUUGAGUCUGGAGGCGGAGAUGAUGCUGGAGCAGCAAAAGGAGCAGCAUUUGCGCCAAAUGGAUGACUUGAGGAACCAGCUGGAGACCAAAAUCAUUGAAUUCAACGCCGCGGUUGAGCAACACGAGGUCCAGAAGACGGCGCUGGCCCUCCAGCACCGACAGGAGUUGGCCGACAUUCGCUCGCGAGAGCGGGAGCUCCAGAGCCAGCUCGAGCUGGCAGAAGUGGAGCGCACCCGCCUGGAGGAGGAGACGAGCAGUCUUCGGCGGCGGCUCCUUGAGGCGGAGGCCGUCGCGGCGGAAAGGGAGGAGCAGCUGAGGAACCUGCAAGGGCGAAAGGCCGACCUUUGCGCCGAGAUGGAGGAGCUACGAAACCAACACGCCAGUCUGGUAAAGACUCUGGAAAAGAACAACACGGAAGCGUUGGAAACCAGACGGCGGGACUGGGAGAAGAAACGCCAGCAAGAGACGGAGGAGUUGGAGAAGAGCUGGAUGGAUCGUUUCGAAAAGGAAAAGGAGCAACUGACGCAAAGACACGAGGAGGAGCUGACGGCCAGACUUGAUGAGGCGAGGUCCGGCUUGGAGGAGGAGCACGAGCGCGCUGUGAAAAGCGAGCACAACAACGAGUCCCUGCAGGCGCUGCUGGAGGAGGCCACUCUGAGGCUGCUCAAGGAGCAGGAGGACAAAGAGGCCCGGUGGGAGAGCGAGAGGCUGCGUCUCGGAGAACAGCACGAGCGGCGGGAGGCCGAGCUCAAGCGGGAGUGGGAGCGGGAGAGGCUGCAGCUGGAGGAGGACUAUGAAGACAUGCUCCGGGAGAAACUGGAUGAGGAACGGGAGAAGCGCGAAGCGGAGAAGGAGGAGCUGGAGAGGAGGCUGCAAGACCUGGCGGACACGCGGGAGGAGAGCCACCGGGAGGCCCUGCGAGAGAUGACGGCCCAACAUGCGGAGGAGAGGAACACGCUCAGCGAGAUGCUGGAUAAGCUACGGGGCGACAUCGCUCAGGAGAGGCAACAGACAGAGGUGAGCUUCGCCAAGAAAAUCAAGCAAGUCGAGGAUCGUUUCUCGGGCGAGCAAGAAUCCGCGGCCGCGCGCUUUCAGGCGGACGUUCUGAAACUGGAACGCCACUAUCGCGCCGUGGCCGCCCAGACCAACAAAAUGGCGCCGGAUGAUCUGCGCAACCGCCUCCACGAGAGUCUGCGGGCCGAGGAGGAUUUUCUCGCUCGCUCGGACGAGAACGCUAAGGACGCCGAACUCCUGCUCAGCCAAGUUGUCGAAGAUUUCCGACAGGAGAGGGAAGAAUUCCAAAGCGCCCGCGCGCGGCUGGAGGCGCAGUACCAAGAGCUGCUCUCCGUAUCCCGUCGACAGACCGCGGAGAAAAUUUCACUCCUCGCCGAGCGCGACGAUUUGAAGCUGCGGCUUGAGGACAUCGAGAAGCUUCUCAAACAGGCAGUGGAUGACUUUGAACUGGACAGGGCGGAGCUUCAGGGACAGGUGGCUCUCCUGGAGGAGAAAUUGAAGGAAAGCCAAAGCCGGGAUCCGUUUUCGGUUGAGUCGGAGAACGCAGGAAUUGCCGCCACGACGUCGAUUCCUGAAAAUUCCUUCCGCGAGGAAGAUCUGAAAAAGGAGCGCAAGCCAACGAACGAGCCUCACCAAGACGCGUCGCGACUGAACACGGAUGCGAGCGAGACCCAAGACCUCCGUGCGUCGCGGACUCGUAACGCAACGGUUCUUGGCGAGGGCUGUGAUGACCUGGAAACGUCAAACUUUGAGCAACCUAAUGACAACCCUCAAGCUGAUCAUCUGCGUCAUGGAGAAAAGAUUCGCAUGAGCGCCCAGUUCGAGUUUCCUGGAACUUUCUCACCCACUCCGUGCCAAGAUAAAGACUCACCGAUUGGGCUCUCCGGAGCUUUGGUUGAGCGCAAAGAAGAAAGUGGCCCUGAAGAUGCGCCCGCCUCGAUCACGGAAAACCCCUCGCAUCACGAUCGGUGGGAUACAGAGGGCGCUUUUGCUUCCUUGGUCAUCGCGGAUCCUGGUGAACAAUUUCUAGACGAUGCCAAAGCUGAUCGUGGUUCGGAAUCCUACUGGGAUGAUUUAAACGCGGAGCAAGCAGAGGUUCGUCCAAACUACGCCGAUGAUGAACCUCAGGAUUUGACUCUUUUUGAAUUGCAAACUUCAUACCGGCAAAGCAGAGAAGAGAGUCUUCUCCUUCAGGAGAAGAUCCUUUUGCUCCAGCAGAAGAGCGAGCUCCUUCAGAGUCUUUUGGAGCACAGCAGCAAGAAGAUCCAAACGGGCCGCGAGUAUCUGGAGGAAAACUACAGCCUCAAAGUCAAAAUGUUCCUGCUGUUGGAACACGUCAAAGCGCUGCAAGUCGAGGCCUCCGAGCUGAAGGAGCUUCGAGCUCGCUACGAAGACCGCGUGCGUGACAACGCCACCUUGAAGGGGCAAAACGCCGAGCUCAAAACCAAGAUUUGGACGCUGCAAAGCCGGAUGAGCGACGAGCGGGUUUCUCUCGCGGAUGACAUCGGCAGGAUUCGCCAGGAGAACCGCAAGCUCUCGGAAUUGUUCCUUGAGUUUGAAACGCCGAGGAACGCCUCGGAUCCCGCUUUGCCCCGGAGCAGAAUUUCGGAGCCCUCGCCCGUUCGGGACGGCUGCGGUGAGUUUGCUCCGCGCGCCGCCAAACUUCACCGGGGCGUCUCGGAGCCGCAAGCCGAGAACGACGCCGCGUGGGCCAAUAGAUUUAAACUGGAGCAGCUCAACCAGGGCAAAGUUGCCGCCGAACAGCUAGCAGAGAAUCUCAACAAAGAGAUGUCCGACCUUCGCUCGCAAAGCCGCCGACUCCGCGCCGAGAACGGGAUGCUAACUGAGAAGAAUGCCCGCAGCCUGGCCGAGGCGGACCAGCUCAAGCGGCAGCUGGCCGAGCUGAUAAAAGACAACGACGACAAGCAGGAGGCGUUAACCGGCGAGGAGAAGAAAGAGCUGGCAGCUUGCGUGCGCGCCCUGGAGGCCGAGUUGACCAAAGCUGUGAAGGACGCGGCCAGGCUGGAGGACAGAAACGCCGAGCUGGCCCAGCAGGUGUCCGGCCUCGAGGAGAAGCUGAUGGAGGCGGACUCGAUGGAGAAUCCUCUCAGCCGCCCGCCGGCCGGCCGAAAAGAUGCGGCCAAAGAGACUCGGGGUCUUCGCAAGCAGCUCGCUAAAUUCCAGGAGAGGGUGAAGAGCAUGGAUGACACCCUCCAGGCCUUGAAUCAUCAGAAGGCUCGCCUGCGCUCGGAUCUCCGCGUCGUGCAGCAGGACCGAGAUUCCCUCCGCCAGGAAGUCGCCGUCCUGCGCAAGCACCUGCAGAACGCCUCCGACAAGAACCAUAUUUUGGAGCUGGCCUUGCACGAGUCGCCCAUCCAAAGUCCCAGCAGGAAGCUGCAAAGAGACGGCGGCGCGCUACAGUCGAUGGAACAAGACGACAAGGUCAGCAUCCUGUCGCUGAAGCAGCAGCAGCAGCACAAAAACUGCCAGGCGAUGCUGCUCAAAGCCUUGGAGAAGGAGAACGCCUCCCUCAAGCAGGAAGUGGAUGCACAGAAGCUGCUCAUCCAGGACCUCGCGGCGAAGGAAGGACACGCGCAGCUGCAGGAGGAAAAUGAGGCGCUCAAGGCCGAACUGGCUCAGCUCACUGCGAAACUCCUCGAGACAUACCAGGUUCACUUCACCGGACUCUUGCCGACGUCGCUGCACAGGACGGCAAGAGGACACCGUUCAGACGCCGACGUCGGGCAGGGAGCUGCGGCGGAGCAGCGAGCUCACACCAACGCGGAAGGCUACCGGCGGCUCGGCGGACUUUAAACGCCACUGUCUUCUUCUAUCUGCCAAGAUGGCCGCUCCGUACUUAAUCUUUUUAUUUGCGGCGUCCUCAUAAUUUUUAUUGUUUACUUUGUCGAUGACGACGCAAUUAUGUGAACGUGUCGAUGCAUUGCACCGCCGCUAGAUGGCGCCAACGUUUCCCAAUGGCAUUCCAAUGGAGAUGAUCUCGAAAAGGUUUCGUGUUGUUUUGAUCCAAUGCUCUUGUUCUCGAUAGCGAGGCAAGUCCAUUUAAUUAAACGCAGCGUAUGCUUUCUGCGCAUAAUGCGAAUGGGAUCGUUUGUUUCAUGAUCAGGCAUGACAAAGCUUCCGAGACUCGGUGAGCCAUCAAAAUAUUUAGUUACACGGGUCCCACGACUGUUCGGGUUUCUUUUUUUGUUUGGCCUUUUAUGAGAAUUUGACUUGCACAUGAUGUUGAUGAAUGUUUGUUCAAGCUGCAGUUUUUUUGUUUGUUCGUUUUGUUUGUCAUGAGGGGCUUUUUCCCCUGUUUUGCUGCUGUACCACUAAAGGUGGAUCACAAUUUUAUUUAUUUUUGUUGGGUUUUCAAGAUGAGAAGAAGAAACUGUUAAAUUAUCUCACACACACACACACACCUCAGUUGAUUUUUGAAUGUUAACGAGUUAUUUAUUUAUAUAUGUUGUAGUCACGUGAGCCAUGCAUUUACGUUUUUUUAAAAUUAUUAUUUAUUAUUAUUUAUGAGUAUGUUAUUUAAUUUAUUCAUUUGGGGGGUAGAUUCCAUGAUUUUUGUAUUUAUUUUAUGUUUUUAUUGCACAUUUCCCUCCCAUAUUGAUGGUACAGUGUUUCCUAUCGCAAGUGACAAAUGUUGCCAUGGUUACCAAAAUAUAAGGUAUGGACUCAGAUUUAGCCAUUGAGACAAGUUCUUACUUGGACCGACAACCAGAUGUUCACCGAGAAGUAUAGCGCCUCGGUUGGUCUUGUACAUAUUUUUUCAUUUCCACAGACUAAUUUUGAUGAGGUUGCAAAGAUGAUCAUUAGACUUUAAAUGAUUGGGGAAAGGAUGGAUUUUGAAUUACUUGGUUCAUAUAUGCCGGUCCUCCAGUUUUCAACUAAAAGAAUAGUUCCUGGAUGCAUUCGGGUCAUAUUUUCUUGCUUCCAUUGACAAAUGUUUUAAAACAAACAAUACCAAAAUAAUUGUUGGGGCACCGACUUCCAAUGACCCAGGGCGGAAUUGAUUCGUUUUUACCCGUUCACCUGCGCCUAUUGCCCAAUUCCCACAUAUGAGCUCUUGUUCCUGGAUCAUUUGUAAAAAAUUUUUUAAAUCUUUUGAGCGCACAAUUUCCUACCUCCCAUUUUAUUUUUCAUGUUAUUCUUUUUCUGAAAUGUAACAGACAUGAUGUGAUGGAAUCGAAUAAAGUUUCCAGCAAAUACA